rnacentral:rRNA from 1 species
GAUGAACGCUGGCGGCGUGCCUAAUACAUGCAAGUCGAGCGAACAGACGAGGAGCUUGCUCCUCUGAUGUUAGCGGCGGACGGGUGAGUAACACGUGGAUAACCUACCUAUAAGACUGGGAUAACUUCGGGAAACCGGAGCUAAUACCGGAUAAUAUAUUGAACCGCAUGGUUCAAAAGUGAAAGACGGUCUUGCUGUCACUUAUAGAUGGAUCCGCGCUGCAUUAGCUAGUUGGUAAGGUAACGGCUUACCAAGGCAACGAUGCAUAGCCGACCUGAGAGGGUGAUCGGCCACACUGGAACUGAGACACGGUCCAGACUCCUACGGGAGGCAGCAGUAGGGAAUCUUCCGCAAUGGGCGAAAGCCUGACGGAGCAACGCCGCGUGAGUGAUGAAGGUCUUCGGAUCGUAAAACUCUGUUAUUAGGGAAGAACAUAUGUGUAAGUAACUGUGCACAUCUUGACGGUACCUAAUCAGAAAGCCACGGCUAACUACGUG